CCUACGGGGUGCUGCAGUGAGGAAUAUUGGUCAAUUGGCGGGAGCCUGAACCAGCCAAGUAGCGUGAGGGAAGAAGGCACUGCGGAUUGUAAACUUCUUUUAUCAAGGAAUAAAGUGAGGGACGAGUCCCCGGUUGUGGGUACUUUAUGAAUAAGGAUCGGCUAACUCCGUGCCAGCAGCCGCGGUAAUACGGAGGAUCCGAGCGUUAUCCGGAUUUAUUGGGGUUAAAGGGUGCGCAGAUGGGUUGUUAAGUCAGGGGUGAAAGUUUGCGGGUCAACCGCAAAAGGGCAAUUGAAACUGGCAGCCUUGAGUAGAGUAGAGGUAGGCGGAAUUCGUGGUGUAGCGGUGAAAUGCUUAGAUAUCACGAAGAACUCCGAUUGCGAAGGCAGCCUACUAAACUGCCACUGACAUUGAGGCUCGAAAGUGUGGGUAUCAAACAGGAUUAGAUACCCCAGUAGUC
rnacentral:rRNA from 1 species